rnacentral:misc_RNA from 1 species
GAAAUAUGCAGGAUUACUUUCAGACAACAUACAAAUUCAUUGAGCUCUCUCCUCAUGCGUUGAUUCCCAUGCACGGAAGAACUAAUAUGUGGCCAAAACACAUGCUCUGUGGGUAUCUCAAAAACCGGAGAAACAGAGAAUCAACCAUCUUAAUGGCAAUAGAGAAUGGUGCUAAAACAUUGUUUGACAUAGUUGCUUACACUUAUGCCGAUGUUGACCGAAGCCUCUGGUUUUAUGCCUCAUCAAAUGUGAGACUCCACGUGGAUCAUCUAGCAGUCCAGAAUAAAUUACCAAGUGACUUCUCUUUAGAAAAUUUCAAUCGCAGUUGUGCUGAGUUUGCUGGCAUGGUGCAUAAAAUAUAAGGAAACUUUCAGAAAGCAGCCCCCUAAGACCUGCAGUUACCUUUCUUCCUUUAGGAUUUUUCAAUCCAAAGUUUUCAGGCAAGUUGUGGGCUGCGUUUCCUUUUUAGGUGGAUAUUAGAAUACUCAAGUAGUGCAUUCUCAAUAAAGCAUCACACAGUCAGAGCGGCUUUACUAGUC